rnacentral:rRNA from 1 species
UACGGGGGGAGCAAGCGUUGUUCGGAUUCAUUGGGCGUAAAGGGCGCGUAGGCGGCUUGGCAAGUCCGACAUGAAAUGUACCGGUUCAACCGGGGCGCUGUGUCGGAAACUGCCUGGCUUGAGGUCGAGGGAGGAGAGUGGAAUUCCUGGUGUAGCGGUGGAAUGCGCAGAUAUCAGGAGGAACACCGAUGGCGAAGGCAGGUCUCUGGGCCACUACUGACGCUGAGAAGCGAAAGCAUGGGGAGCGAACAGG